UUCCAGGUAAACGGGGUUUGACUGCGGCAAAUUGUUUGCAGCGCCGCGUCAUUGUUGUUGCUCUUUGUGUGAUUGGGAAAAAAUUUCCAUAGAUAAAAUUAUUGUAUCUAAAAUUUACAGUGCUAAAUCAUAAAUAGAGCUUAAAAUUUAAACCUGAGUGUAUUUGAAAUAUCUCCUAAACCCGCCUGCAUUUUGUGUCGGCGGUUGUGUUGUACCCCACCAAAAAACCAGGAGUAAGAAGUACAUACAUACAUACAUAUAUGAGUACACUUUUUUUUAAAUUGUGUUCAAGACCUGCAAAACUCUUUCGUUUAAGACUAAUAAAGUACUUUUCCAUAGAGCGCUGAGUUAGAAAAUAACGAAAGCAACCAAACAAAAUUUCGGAUCUAAAAUUCAUUUUUGUGGAUUUACUGCUUGGGGUUGAGAACUAAUCGCAAAACUGGCGGAGGAAGCAGCAGAAAGCGCCAACAAGAUGAGUUGGGGAACGCAACUUUGGGUGAAUAUGAAAAGAU